rnacentral:rRNA from 4 species
CCUCGGAUCAGGUAGGAAUACCCGCUGAACUUAAGCAUAUC